rnacentral:lncRNA from 1 species
ACCUGUGUAUCUGAAGCCUUCUGAAGAGAGUUGGUGUACCAUCUUAUACGAAGCACAUUCAAUGGGGAGUAGGAAAAAUACCUCAAUCAAAAUAGCCAUGCUGCUGAAAGUGAAUGAGUACUCCAGGGAAAAAAAUGUAGUGUGGGGGAGAACUGCAUCAUACAAUUCAAAUGAAAAUAAUGCUUGUAUAGAAACAGGAGAAUAGCAUAUGAUUUCCUUCCAUAUCCACACUGUGAGAGUAUGUUUUUGUAGUUCAUCAUUUUUCUUUGGCUGGUGUGUUCAGCUACUGCUCAUCUCCCUCAGGGAUUUUUCUUAGUAAUGGAGGAGACUUCACUUGAAAAUGGAGUAGCCUGAAAUUUGACAAGUUAGAAAAAUACUUACUUUUUUACCUGAAUGAAAAAGUGAAGUAUUAAGAAAAAAAAAAAAAAAAAAACCUAAAUGUAUCACAACAAUUUCAAAAUGUUACUAUGCCAUUUUUGGAAAAUAGUGAUAAUGAAAUGAUACAUAAUGAAUUAGUUAAUUAUAGAGGUAUUUAUUAUUUUCAUUUGGGAAAUUGUACCACAAAUAGUCCAUGAAUAGACUUGCACUCACAGAUUCUAAAAGGAGAUAAAUCAUGUUCUUACAGUUUAUGUUCAUAUAUAGUGUUAGAGAAAGCAAUGCCACAGUGAUGCACUGCAACUAGAAAUCAGGAAACCUGGCUGUACAAGAAGCUAGGCAUGUACCUUUUAGCCUGAACACUGAUGGUCCUAGAAGUCAAAGAUAGAUAAAGCUUAUAAAUUGUUUUACAUGAAGUUGAGACACAAAAACAAGUCUUCAACCAUUUGCAGUUAGUCUUUUGUUUUCUAUGGCUGAUCUGCAUCCUAGCUCUCACCGGAACUCUUAUUUUGCAAGAGUGCAAAUUCAUGCACUUUAAGGUAAAAGUGGAAUGCUGAAAAUGAAUAUAUUCCAAAUGACAACCAAGCAGAAACGUGUUCCAAAAUGCUAUCAGGUUCCCACAGUGCAAGUGAGAUGGCAGUGCAUUGUGCAAUACAUAGCACAAAGGUUGGGCUUGACAGUGAAGAAUGAUAGUGUCUGGCUUCUGAACUGCAGCACCAUGCACAAAAUUAACAUUGUUUCCAAAUCAAAACUUUGUAUGUGAGGGGAAAGCAUCAGAUGUUUUGGUUUUUUUUUUUAAUCUUCCCUGCAUAACAGCAGCUCUACCUUGGCAGCAAUGAGAGUUGGUAAUGCAUGACAAAUGGUUUCACAGGGACUAGCUAAGUCAGAAAAUGAGAAGGAAGGCAGAGUGAGCACACAAUAAUUUUCCAUAGCAUUCUUUUAUUUCAGUUCUUCCCAGGAGCAUAUGCAGCCCUAGUGUUGAUUCAGUGGGAUGAACAUACCCCAUCGUGUCACAUCAUGUUUCCAUAUCUUAUGGCUAUGGGUAAGGAGAGCUGUGCACUGUCUGGGGGCCUGUAUCUGCCAGAGAUAGUAAGGAAAACAUAGGACUUGCAGCACUGGGCUGGUUACAUGUGGAGCUCUUAUCAGAGCAAAGGGAGUAGGAAUUGAAAUUAAAGUGUUGGGCUGACACUCUACUGAAUCCACACUGUGACUUCAACCCAUCUGCAGGGAGCAACAAGGACAGGAGCUGACCUGAAAUAGCAAGCACUGGUUGGCCUUACUACAGGUAGCUGAUCUAUGGUCAGUCAUGACUUUUGUUAUUUCACAUUUCUAACUAUUCCCUCAAGACAGAUGUUUGUCUGUGAUUGUAAUUCAUUUCCUACAGGAUAGCUCUAUUUUGAGUAUCCCCACUGUGAUCUUUCCCAGAAAAGAUGAAGAACCAAAUACUGUCUUCUACCACUGGAGGCUGGUGUCCAAGUCAGAGCUGUAGCACUUCAUUAAUAUGAUCAUUUCAGAAGGUGGUUGUUCUCCGUACUGUCCACCAUCUCUUGGUAAAUGUAUUACUUAUUUUUCCAAGCUGCCUUACAAUCUUCAUGAGCUAAAAUUCAUUUUAAGAGAAAAACAGUAAAUGCUAUCCGGAAUGUCGUUGCUUAUGAACUCAAAGAUUUGAUGUAGAACAAGAACUUGGAGGAUAGAUGACUAAAAUUUCAAAUCUAACAGACCCUAAAUUAAAGUCAUUCUGUUCUCUAAUCACAAUAAGCUUAUGUGUAAAAACAGUCUUUCAAGAUGAAGAGAUUGAAAAACACCAAAUUGCUGAUGCCUCAGUAUUUCACUGGUUUCUUUCUCAGCACUUUUGAUUCCACCCAAUUUUCAAAUGUAUACCAUCUACAUUUUCUUGCGAGUAGUCAUUUUGUUUCAGUUUUGAAAC